UUUUUUCUGAGAAUUUGAUCUUGGUUCAGAUUGAACGCUGGCGGCGUGGAUGAGGCAUGCAAGUCGAACGGAAUAAUGACUUCGGUUGUUAUUUAGUGGCGGAAGGGUUAGUAAUACAUAGAUAAUCUGUCCUCAACUUGGGAAUAACGGUUGGAAACGACCGCUAAUACCGAAUGUGGUAUGUUUAGGCAUCUAAAACAUAUUAAAGAAGGGGAUCUUCGGACCUUUCGGUUGAGGGAGAGUCUAUGGGAUAUCAGCUUGUUGGUGGGGUAAUGGCCUACCAAGGCUUUGACGUCUAGGCGGAUUGAGAGAUUGACCGCCAACACUGGGACUGAGACACUGCCCAGACUUCUACGGAAGGCUGCAGUCGAGAAUCUUUCGCAAUGGACGAAAGUCUGACGAAGCGACGCCGCGUGUGUGAUGAAGGCUCUAGGGUUGUAAAGCACUUUCGCUUGGGAAUAAGAGAGAUUGGCUAAUAUCCAAUCGAUUUGAGCGUACCAGGUAAAGAAGCACCGGCUAACUCCGUGCCAGCAGCUGCGGUAAUACGGAGGGUGCUAGCGUUAAUCGGAUUUAUUGGGCGUAAAGGGCGUGUAGGCGGAAAGGAAGUUAGAUGUUAAAUCUUGGGGCUCAACCCCAAGCCAGCAUCUAAUACUAUCUUUCUAGAGGGUAGAUGGAGAAAAGGGAAUUCCACGUGUAGCGGUGAAAUGCGUAGAUAUGUGGAAGAACACCAGUGGCGAAGGCGCUUUUCUAAUUUACACCUGACGCUAAGGCGCGAAAGCAAGGGAGCAACAGGAUUAGAUACCCUGGUAGUCCUUGCCGUAAACGAUGCAUACUUGAUGUGGAUAGUCUCAACCCUAUCCGUGUCGUAGCUAACGCGUUAAGUAUGCCGCCUGAGGAGUACACUCGCAAGGGUGAAACUCAAAAGAAUUGACGGGGGCCCGCACAAGCAGUGGAGCAUGUGGUUUAAUUCGAUGCAACGCGAAGAACCUUACCUGGGCUUGACAUGUAUUUGACCGCGGCAGAAAUGUCGUUUUCCGCAAGGACAGAUACACAGGUGCUGCAUGGCUGUCGUCAGCUCGUGCCGUGAGGUGUUGGGUUAAGUCCCGCAACGAGCGCAACCCUUAUCGUUAGUUGCCAACACUUAGGGUGGGAACUCUAACGAGACUGCCUGGGUUAACCAGGAGGAAGGCGAGGAUGACGUCAAGUCAGCAUGGCCCUUAUGCCCAGGGCUACACACGUGCUACAAUGGCCAGUACAGAAGGUAGCAAUAUCGUGAGAUGGAGCAAAUCCUCAAAGCUGGCCCCAGUUCGGAUUGUAGUCUGCAACUCGACUACAUGAAGUCGGAAUUGCUAGUAAUGGCGUGUCAGCUAUAACGCCGUGAAUACGUUCCCGGGCCUUGUACACACCGCCCGUCACAUCAUGGGAGUUGGUUUUGCCUUAAGUCGUUGACUCAACCUGCAAAGGAGAGAGGCGCCCAAGGUGAGGCUGAUGACUGGGAUGAAGUCGUAACAAGGUAGCCCUACCGGAAGGUGGGGCUGGAUCACCUCCUUU
rnacentral:rRNA from 1 species